rnacentral:rRNA from 1 species
GCUCAGAAACUCGAAAGGAAUUGACGGGGGCCCGCGACAAGCGGAGGAGCAUGUGGUUUAAUUCGAUGAUACGCGAGGAACCUUACCUGGGCUCGAACGUAAGAUGACUGUAGGUGAAAAGCUUUACAUCUCUUCGGAGCAUUUUUACGAGGUGCUGCAUGGUUGUCGUCAGCUCGUGCCGUGAGGUGUCGGGUUAAGUCCCAUAACGAGCGCAACCCUACCUUUAGUUGCCAUCAGGUAAUGCUGGGGACUCUAAAGGAACUGCCUACGCAAGUAGUGAGGAAGGCGGGGAUGACGUCAAAUCAGCACGGCCCUUACGUCCAGGGCUACACACGUGCUACAAUGGCCGAUACAGAGGGCAGCUACCUGGUGACAGGAUGCAAAUCUCCAAAGUCGGUCUCAGUUCGGAUCGGAGUCUGCAACCCGACUCCGUGAAGUUGGAUUCGCUAGUAAUCGCGCAUCCAGCCAUGGCGCGGUGAAUACGUUCCCGGGCCUU